rnacentral:rRNA from 1 species
CCUACGGGUGGCAGCAGUGAGGAAUAUUGGUCAAUGGCCGGAAGGCUGAACCAGCCAAGCCGCGUGAAGGACGAAGGUGCCCAGCAUUGUAAACUUCUUUUGUCAAGGGACAAAAUCAGGCUCGAGAGCCUGACCGAGGGUACUUGAAGAAAAAGCAUCGGCUACCUCCGGGCCAGCAGCCGCGGUAUUACGGAGGAUGCGAGCGUUAUCCGGAUUUAUUGGGUUUAAAGGGUGCGUAGGCGGGCUGUUAAGUCAGCGGUAAAAGACCGGGGCUAAACCCCGGCGAGCCGUUGAACCUGGCUGUCUUGAGAGGUAGAGAGGAAUGUGGAAUGCGCAGUGUAGCGGUGAAAUGCUUAGAUAUUGCGAAGAACUCCGAUUGCGAAGGCAGCAUACUGGCGGCGAUCUGACGCUGAGGCACGAAAGCGUGGGGAGCGAACAGGAUUAGAUACCCUGGUAGUC